ensembl:lincRNA
GGCCCCCUCUCCGGGGCCCGCCGCGGCAGUUGGCCCGCUGCACGCCGGAACCUUCACCUUCUUCCUUUGCCAUCGUCUCCGCGGAGUCCCGAGUGGCCCUACCACUCCCGAGCAGCCCGGAGUCUCCCAAACCUCCGAGUAUCCAAACCCCGCGGCCGCCCCGGCCAGCUCCCGGCUGCCGCGCCCCCACUUCCUGACCCGCCCCCCUCUGGUGUCUCCGCCAACUGGGUCCCCCCAAGGCGCUCCGGGAACCAGAGUGCAGGGAGCGGGGCCCGGCCGGAGCGUUUCGCCAGAGCGCCUCAGCCAUGCCCACGAUGGCCACGGGAUGGCAAUGCUCCUGGGAGGAACGAGUCCCCGCCGCCGCCCUCGCUCCUUGCUGAUCCUCACAGGAAAGCAGGAGCCAGAGCAAGCUUUUCGUGACGCUGGGAAUGUCAUAGACUGUAGGCCAGAUCCAUUCCCUAUGUCCAGCGGAUUUUUCAAACAGAAAACUGAGUUUCAAGUGCAGAGCAACGAGUAGUCCUGGACUUGUCACGAUGAUUUCAAAGCCAGGCAAGACGUUCUAGACACAUCAGCUCCUGGUAACAUUCCCAAUCUACUUCAAAGAUGAUGAUGAGCACAGAAGGACCUCCACAUGGAGUUCGCUUCAGUUGUGGCAAACAUGGCCACUGGGCAAAAAACCUGCCCCUUACCUCAAUGGCUGACAGCAGGCUCUCCAAACUGUGGAAAAGCAGGACACUGGGAAGUUGACUGAUCCACUUUGCUGAGACAAGCAGCUGAAUAAUCAGCUACUGACCCCUGAGGAAUGAGCACCACUCUUCGGAAGAACGUGUGAGCGAAGGAGGAGCAAAAUGUGAUUUCAGUACUGGACUUUUCUAACUAAUGGAAAAUAUUUCUUCCAUUUUGAAAGUCCUUAAGACAAUAAGUAAUGGCUAGGGUGGUGUCAGAGAUUCUAUCUAAUCAGACACAGUUUUAAGAACACACCAUCCCUCAGUCACGGACAUGGAAUGGUCUCUGUAGAUAGGGCUCGCCCACGCUGGGCUGCACAUGCUCAGAGGCAUCGCAGGACUUCAUUCUUCUGAAGACUCAAGCUCAUUUCAGCUCUAGGGGGUAGGAGGACCGCUUUUGCUCAUAGACCAGUAAGAGACUAAAAGUUACUUGUUUUUAGACUUUAUAGGAAGAAAAAACUUGACUUAAUAAAUGACUUUAAGAAGGAAAUGGGUUUGCUCAGAUGAACCAAAAAGAAAUGGUAAUAUUCACUGUUGCAGAUCUAUCACCACGAAGACAGUGAUGGAUGGAUACACGCAGUGGGCAAAACAAAACAAACAAGAUGAAAGCAAAGGCAGAAAAACCAGCUCACUUCAUGGAGAACAAGAACCCAUCCCAGUCCAAGAAUCAGAACAAGCCUGUUAGGUGGGGGUCUUAUUUUCAUCUCCAAGGUUAGGCAGGUUUUUCAUUUUUAUUUUUCCCUAGUGCAAUUAAAAGAGGCUUUACGAUUUUUAAAUACUCAAUGGGACAGCCCAUGCUUAAAUGUUCCUAUUUAUUUACUCUAAUUAUUUGAAGUACUGGAGACUG